CGCAAAUUAUCCAACUAAACAGAAACUCACUCCAGAGACAACUUCUCCAGAAUCUCUUCUCCAGAUGGUGAGGCCCAGUCAAUGAUCCAGGGUCCCUCCCUGCAGCCGGGAAAGAAGGCACGGAACUCACCACUGGGGUCAGGAGCUGGCACUGCCCUUACAAACAGAACAGCAACACAGAAGGUUUAAGUCCUGCCAACAAAGAAGUUUUUAAAUUCUCCUUCUACAUAUUCUACAGCAAAAGUGGCCAAAUUCAUCCCAAAACUUCCUAAGAAAUUCUUUUACUGGCCUGGCGCAGUGGCUAACACCUGUAAUCUCAGCACUUUGGGAGGGCCUGGCCUGCAAAUCGUUUGAGCCCAGGAGUUCAAGACCAGCCUGGGUAACACGGAGAGACCUCAUCUCUAUAAAAAUACGAAAAAAAAAAAUUAGCUGGGCAUGGUGACACACACCUGUAGUCCCAGCUACUUGGGAGGCUGAGGUGGGAGGAUUGCUUGAGCCUGGGAAGUCAAGGCUGCAGUGAGUGGUGAUUGUGCCACUGCACUCCAACCUGCAUGACAGAGUGAAACCUUGUCUCAAAAGAAAAAAGAAAUUCUCUUACCCCAUACCUAGGAGAAAGCAGAAGCUGGGGAGAAGAAAAGAAACCUCAUUUUAAAAUGAUAGGCGAAGACCUAUAUUUUAGGAGCGCUCGAAGCUCCCCUUUGCCCUGAGCUCUGGGUUCUUCCAGCACUGCGGGGUCUCCUGUGAUCUGCAGGAUCGGUCAUGAGUUGAGUUGCACAGCAGGGCCCGCAGCAGGACAGAAUCUUCCCUCCUCCAAGCAGCCCUGGAAAGAAAAAGGGUCUGCUGUGCUCAUGGUGCUGAGAAGCUAGCCAGGCCCUCUCCACAAGGCAGCAGGGAAGGUGGCAGCCUUGCAAAGGUUUUCCACCUGAGCUACAUCCAGG
rnacentral:lncRNA from 10 species